GACGAACGCUGGCGGCGUGCUUAACACAUGCAAGUCGAACGGAAAGGCCCUGCUUUUGUGGGGUGCUCGAGUGGCGAACGGGUGAGUAACACGUGAGUAACCUGCCCUUGACUUUGGGAUAACUUCAGGAAACUGGGGCUAAUACCGGAUAGGAGCUCCUGCUGCAUGGUGGGGGUUGGAAAGUUUCGGCGGUUGGGGAUGGACUCGCGGCUUAUCAGCUUGUCGGUGGGGUAGUGGCUUACCAAGGCUUUGACGGGUAGCCGGCCUGAGAGGGUGACCAGCCACAUUGGGACUGAGAUACGGCCCAGACUCCUACGGGAGGCAGCAGUGGGGAAUAUUGCACAAUGGGCGGAAGCCUGAUGCAGCAACGCCGCGUGCGGGAUGACGGCCUUCGGGUUGUAAACCGCUUUCGCCUGUGACGAAGCGUGAGUGACGGUAAUGGGUAAAGAAGCACCGGCUAACUACGUG
rnacentral:rRNA from 1 species